rnacentral:rRNA from 1 species
GAUGAACGCUGGCGGCGUGCCUAAUACAUGCAAGUCGAGCGAACAGAUGAGGAGCUUGCUCCUCUGACGUUAGCUGCGGACGGGUGAGUAACACGUGGAUAACCUACCUAUAAGACUGGGAUAACUUCUGGAAACCGUAGCUAAUACCGGAUAAUAUAUUUAACCGCAUGGUUCAAUAGUGAAAGACGGUUUUGCUGUCACUUCUAGAUGGAUCCGCUCCGCAUUAGCUAGUUGGUAAGUUAACGGCUUACCAAGGCAACGAUGCGUAGCCGACCUGAGAGGGUGAUGGACAACACGGGAACUGAAACAGGGUCAAGACUCCAAGGGGAGGAAGAAUAAGGGAAUCUUCGGAAAGGGGGGAAAGCCUGACGGAGAAAGGCGGGGUGAGUGAGGAAGGUCUUCGAAUCUAAAAACUCGGUUAAUAGGGAAGAAGAGAUGGGGAAGGAAAAGUGCACAUCGUGACGGUACCUUAUCAGAAAGCCACGGCUAACUACGUG